rnacentral:rRNA from 1 species
CCUACGGGAGGCUGCAGUGAGGAAUAUUGGUCAAUGGGCGGGAGCCUGAACCAGCCAAGUCGCGUGAGGGAAGACGGUCCUAUGGAUUGUAAACCUCUUUAGGCGGGGAGCAAUGCCGGGCACGUGUGCCCGGAGGGAGAGUACCUGAAGAAAAAGCAUCGGCUAACUCCGUGCCAGCAGCCGCGGUAAUACGGAGGAUGCGAGCGUUAUCCGGAUUUAUUGGGUUUAAAGGGUGCGUAGGCGGGACCUUAAGUCAGCGGUAAAAUUGCGGUGCUCAACGCCGUAGAGACGUUGAAACUGGGGGUCUUGAGUGAGCUAGAAGGAGGCGGAAUGCGUGGUGUAGCGGUGAAAUGCAUAGAUAUCACGCAGAACCCCGAUUGCGAAGGCAGCAUACCGGCGCUCAACUGACGCUGAGGCACGAAAGUGCGGGUAUCGAACAGGAUUAGAUACCCGGGUAGUC